rfam:Oryza sativa Japonica Group DNA, chromosome 2, cultivar: Nipponbare, complete sequence.
AAAAAGACAAACCUUGGAUUUCUUGGUCUAACUUUGACUGUCCGUCUUAUAAGAAAUUUUUUUAUAAUUCAUAUUUUCAUUGUUGUUAGAUGAUAAAACAUGAUUAAUAUUUUAUGCAUGACUUAUCGUUUUAAUUUUUUUCAUAAUUUUCUUAAAUAAGACAGACGGUCAAACAUUGAACACAGAAAUCAGGGUUUGUCUUUUU